rnacentral:rRNA from 1 species
GACGAACGCUGGCGGCGUGCUUAACACAUGCAAGUCGAACGGAAAGGCCCUGCUUUUGUGGGGUGCUCGAGUGGCGAACGGGGGAGUAACACGUGAGUAACCUGCCCUUGACUUUGGGAUAACUUCAGGAAGCUGGGGCUAAUACCGGAUAGGAGCUCCUGCUGCAUGGUGGGGGUUGGAAAGUUUAGGCGUUUGGGGAUGGACUCGCGGCUUAUCAGCUUGUUGGUGGGGUAGUGGCUUACCAAGGCUUUGACGGGUAGCCGGCCUGAGAGGGUGACCGGCCACAUUGGGACUGAGAUACGGCCCAGACUCCUACGGGAGGCAGCAGUGGGGAAUAUUGCACAAUGGGCGGAAGCCUGAUGCAGCAACGCCGCGUGCGGGAUGACGGCCUUCGGGUUGUAAACCGCUUUCGCCUGUGACGAAGCGUGAGUGACGGUAAUGGGUAAAGAAGCACCGGCUAACUACGUG